ensembl:miRNA
CCGGUCCCUUUCGUUCUAAGGUUGGGAGAGCUGUAAUUGGCAUGACUAUUUUUCAGAGGCAUUGCACUCGUCCCGGCCGGAGUCAGAAGGGAUUUGAG